rnacentral:rRNA from 1 species
AGUGAACGCUGGCGGUAGGCCUAACACAUGCAAGUCGAACGGCAGCACAGUAAGAGCUUGCUCUUAUGGGUGGCGAGUGGCGGACGGGUGAGGAAUACAUCGGAAUCUACUUUUUCGUGGGGGAUAACGUAGGGAAACUUACGCUAAUACCGCAUACGACCUACGGGUGAAAGCAGGGGAUCUUCGGACCUUGUGCGAUUGAAUGAGCCGAUGUCGGAUUAGCUAGUUGGCGGGGUAAAGGCCCACCAAGGCGACGAUCCGUAGCUGGUCUGAGAGGAUGAUCAGCCACACUGGAACUGAGACACGGUCCAGACUCCUACGGGAGGCAGCAGUGGGGAAUAUUGGACAAUGGGCGCAAGCCUGAUCCAGCCAUACCGCGUGGGUGAAGAAGGCCUUCGGGUUGUAAAGCCCUUUUGUUGGGAAAGAAAAGCAGCAGGUUAAUACCCCGCUGUUCUGACGGUACCCAAAGAAUAAGCACCGGCUAACUUCGUG